UACGGAGGGUGCAAACGUUGCUCGGAAUCAUUGGGCGUAAAGCGCGCGUAGGCGGUUUGCUAUGUCCGGUGUGAAAGCCCUCGGCUUAACUGAGGAAGUGCACUGGAAACUGGCAAGCUAGAGUACGGAAGAGGGUCGCGGAAUUCCCGGUGUAGAGGUGAAAUUCGUAGAUAUCGGGAGGAACACCAGUGGCGAAGGCGGCGACCUGGGCCGAUACUGACGCUGAGGUGCGAAAGCGUGGGGAG
rnacentral:rRNA from 1 species